rnacentral:rRNA from 1 species
CUACGGGGGGCUCCAGUGGGGAAUAUUGCACAAUGGGCGCAAGCCUGAUGCAGCCAUGCCGCGUGUAUGAAAAAGGCCUUCGGGUUGUAAAGUACUUUCAGCGGGGAGGAAGGGAGUAAAGUUAAUACCUUUGCUCAUUGACGUUACCCGCAGAAGAAGCACCGGCUAACUCCGUGCCAGCAGCCGCGGUAAUACGGAGGGUGCAAGCGUUAAUCGGAAUGACUGGGCGUAAAGCGCACGCAGGCGGUUUGUUAAGUCAGAUGUGAAAUCCCCGGGCUCAACCUGGGAACUGCAUCUGAUACUGGCAAGCUUGAGUCUCGUAGAGGGGGGUAGAAUUCCAGGUGUAGCGGUGAAAUGCGUAGAGAUCUGGAGGAAUACCGGUGGCGAAGGCGGCCCCCUGGACGAAGACUGACGCUCAGGUGCGAAAGCGUGGGGAGCAAACAGGAUUAGAUACCCCUGUAGUC